CAUCUACGGAGAGUUUGAUCCUGGCUCAGGACGAACGCUGGCGGCGUGCUUAACACAUGCAAGUCGAACGCUGAACCCCGCUUGCGGGGGGAUGAGUGGCGAACGGGUGAGUAACACGUGGGCAACCUGCCCCCGGCUCUGGGAUAACUCCAAGAAAUUG
rnacentral:rRNA from 1 species